rnacentral:rRNA from 1 species
UGGGGAAUAUUGGACAAUGGGCGCAAGCCUGAUCCAGCAAUGCCGCGUGAGUGAUGAAGGCCUUAGGGUUGUAAAGCUCUUUCGCACGCGACGAUGAUGACGGUAGCGUGAGAAGAAGCCCCGGCUAACUUCGUGCCAGCAGCCGCGGUAAUACGAAGGGGGCUAGCGUUGUUCGGAAUUACUGGGCGUAAAGGGCGCGUAGGCGGCCUGUUUAGUCAGAAGUGAAAGCCCCGGGCUCAACCUGGGAAUAGCUUUUGAUACUGGCAGGCUUGAGUUCCGGAGAGGAUGGUGGAAUUCCCAGUGUAGAGGUGAAAUUCGUAGAUAUUGGGAAGAACACCGGUGGCGAAGGCGGCCAUCUGGACGGACACUGACGCUGUGGCGCGAAAAGCGUGGGGAGCAAACAGGAUUAGAUACCCUGGUAGUCCACGCCGUAAAACGAUGAAUGCUAGACGUCGGGGUGCAUGCACUUCGGUGUCGCCGCUAACGCAUUAAGCAUUCCGCCUGGGGAGUACGGCCGCAAGGUUAAAACUCAAAGGAAUUGACGGGGUCAUAGCUGUUUCCU